UACGAAGGGGGCUAGCGUUGUUCGGAAUCACUGGGCGUAAAGGGCGCGUAGGCGGCCGAUCAAGUCGGGGGUGAAAGCCUGUGGCUCAACCACAGAAUUGCCUUCGAUACUGGUUGGCUUGAGACCGGAAGAGGUAAGUGGAACUGCGAGUGUAGAGGUGAAAUUCGUAGAUAUUCGCAAGAACACCAGUGGCGAAGACGGCUUACUGGUCCGGUUCUGACGCUGAGGCGCGAAAGCGUGGGGAGCAAACAGG
rnacentral:rRNA from 1 species